UCAGGAUGAACGCUAGCGGCAGGCUUAACACAUGCAAGUCGAGGGGCAACGCGAGUAGCAAUACUUGGCGGCGACCGGCGCAAGGGUGCGUAACGCGUGAGCAACAUGCCCGUAUCAGGGGGAUAAUCCAGGGAACUUGGUCUAAUACCCCAUAGUAAUUUUGUAAGGCAUCUUAUAAGAUUUAAAGCUUUGGUGGAUACGGAUUGGCUCGCGUGACAUUAGCUGGAUGGUAAGGUAACGGCUUACCAUGGCUAUGAUGUCUAGGGGUUCUGAGAGGAAGGUCCCCCACACUGGAACUGAGACACGGUCCAGACUCCUACGGGAGGCAGCAGUGAGGAAUAUUGGACAAUGGAUGGAAAUCUGAUCCAGCCAUGCCGCCGUGAAGGAAGAAGGUCCUAUGGAUUGUAAACUUCUUUUGUAUGGGAGCAAUAAGGCCUACGAGUAGGUUGAUGAGAGUACCAUACGAAUAAGCACCGGCUAACUCCGUGCCAGCCGCCGC
rnacentral:rRNA from 1 species